rnacentral:misc_RNA from 1 species
AGAAAAGCGAGCGCGGAAACGCGCUCUCAUUUCAAACCACUGUGAAAACGCACGUUGCUUCGGCAGCUCCACGGCCGCGAGGUCGUGGGUCAGCCUGUCGACAGCACCAAACCAAACCUUUUUGUAACAGCAGUCUGAUGACGAAAUACAAAUCGUUA